rnacentral:lncRNA from 1 species
CUGGGUGGCGCAGCGGUUUAGCGCCUGCCUUUGGCCCAGGGCGCGAUCCUGGAGACCCGGGAUCGAGUCCCACGUCGGGCUCCCGGUGCAUGGGGCCUGCUUCUCCCUCUGCCUGUGUCUCUGCCUCUCUCUCUCUCUGUGACUAUCAUAAAUAAAUAAAAAUUUUAAAAAAAAAUUAAACAUUCAUAAAUGUAAACAUUCAUAUUUUUAGGAAAACCAACAGCCCAAUAUAAAUAGCAUCUGAAGGAGCAAAGGUCUCUUGCAUCAUAAGUGGAAGCAACACAAGGGAGAGGAUCUGCCCAGACAUAUAACUCAAGACUUGCAGGCUUUCCAAAGAUAGUAUUCUAAAGUGAGCAAUAUAAAGGGGAAUCUCUUUAGAGAUUUAUGCUCCAACAGUGAUUCCAGACCUCCAAACUUUGAACAUGCAACAUCAACAAAGAUCUUGUUAUGGAGGACCCCACAUCCAGAUUUGCAGUCCACCACAAUCAAGGAUGGUUCUGCCAGAAGUAGACUCCACCCAUGUCAACUUCAUCUCCUAUCAGUCUUUAACCAAGAAAUGUAAGGAAAAUUACUUUGAGCCAAUUAGAAAAUCUCAAAUGGUAAGCUUUGCCUCUUGUUUACAGAUUCUUGAUAUAAUUGUAAACAUUUAUGUUUCAAAAUUUCACUGAUUUCAAUCUUCACAGGUCUUGCAUUUUACUUUUUCAUUAGACUAAAAGCCUGCGGUAGCUGAACAUCAUUGCCCAAGGAUGUUAUAUAGACUUGUCUUUAUGAGGUGUCAUCUGUACUCUAAGUGAGAUUUUAAACUACUAGAAAGCCUUUUAGCAACUAAGGAAGAAACGCUAGAUUUUCCGAAGGGUUGAUGUCUACAGCAGUGCAGUCAAUUGUUGCUGGUAGGUUUUUGUUGCUCUGCAACUGUCAACACACUUAAUUCUUCAAAUGAUAAAAGUCUUGAAGUCUGUAAUAUAAAAAUUAGAUGUCCUGGAAAUUUUUAUUUCUAUUUUAAAGGUACAACUUAUCAUCAAAAUCAUGUUCAUUGCAAAUGUUUUCUUGGCAAUUUACUUGUCAUAAAUGUCUAUUGUACUGACAUACUCAGCAGGGAAUAGUGUAUGUUUAUUCUCAUGUACUUAUGAAUUUGUAAA